rnacentral:lncRNA from 1 species
UUCUUCAGUUCAGACACAUGGUUUUAGUGAAUAGAAGUCACUCUACCAAAACCGGGUACUCUUCAAACAUGCCUUGCUCCGUAUGCAGGCAGGCAACUGCACCCCUGCUUCCUGAGCCACCUGGGACUUGAAGUUCUACCAGUGUGGCUCCAAAGCUGCCCAACUAGAAACCCCAAAAGGCAAGAGAACUACGAUACCCACAAUUCAGGCUCCUCACCCGAAACCAGAAGAGGGCGUAUGGCUAGAGUUUCACCCUAAGAAGAAAGGGGAAGCAGGUGGAAAAGCAAUUAAAAAAAAAUCAGGGAAGGGAAUUCUUUCCACAGUUGCUAGUUCCUCACACCUCUGCCUCUAUGGGAUUCUCCUGGUCCCCACAUGCUCUGCUGUGUCUUCUAGCUGUCAGCCACUGUGGAGGAAGUGAACCUUCUAGAUCCUGCUGACUCAUACAAUGAGUUUUGUGUGGACCAUCAGACAAAAGGGCUGACUGGUGAAGGUGGCUGUUGUCUGGAAAGUCCUCCCAGCUCUCCUCUAAUUAUGUCAUAAGGACUGGAGGCCCCUUAGCCUGCUUGUGAUAACACGCAAGGAAAUACGGGCCAACUCUUCACAUGAGCACAAGAUAUUUCCAUGCUAGCCUUUUGCAAGUAACAACAGAGAGAGCUCUGUGCAGUUUUCACUGGAAUGCCUAUGGAUUGCUUGUGUCAUAACUGUAAUCUAAAGAGUUGUCCAUUUGUUGAUUCCUUUGUGUUUGUAUUGGUAGAAUUGCCACUAUCAAACCAAGAUCUUUAGCUGUCUUUGUAUCAACUUCUUUGGAGCUUAUGUGAUUUUCCAGAAAAUUUCCAAGGCAUAGUUUUGUCCCUAAGUCCCAUG